GUAGCCCAAUCCAAGUACAACAAGAUGAUACCUACAUAUCAUUUAACAAAUUAAGAUAAGACUUACUACAGUAAGUUCAUACACACAUUAAAGAAGAGAAGGGAUUGUUUGCAUAUUCAUCAACAUCAGGAUUCAUUAACUUCCAUUCGCCUCAGUCUUGACUCUUGAAGCCAUGUGCUCUGACUUCUACAAGAAAAAACAAAAUAAUCAACUGGAUGACUUUCUAAUCAACCAUAUGAAAACAUAGGCCCAAUUUAGUUUAUAGAAAGAACUGUAGCAGAAUUCCAGAAAACACUACAUAUAGCAUGUGCAUAUACAGUUGAAAAUUUGUUCAAUAUCUUGACUGUUUAAGGAAAGUAUCCAUUUCUUUUCCUACUAGCUAGCUGUUCUUUCUUUUUUUAUAUAUAGUGAGGGGAUGAUAGAAUGCUGUUGCAGGACAAUAUCAAAAAUUUAACUCUCACCCUAUUCAAUGCAUAUGAAAAUAUGCUGAAAACUGCAAAACAUAUAUAUUUCUUUUAUCUACUUUUCACAAAAAGCAGGACAACCUAUCAUCAACCAUAUAAGCCAUACUUCCUUCUGAGCAGUUAUUCAGUACUCCCAGUGUACAACAAAAUAGCACACCAUGCACUCAUAUACAUGUGGAACCACUAGACAAUUGUGGAAGGUGAAUCCCACAUUCAUAUGACAGAGGAUUCAUUAUUUUCUGAUACACCUGGAAUAAUGAAUAACAUUCCCUACCAGGAAAUGUUCAGUCACAGAACUGCUUUAAUUAUAAAAGCAUAAUGCAAGUAGUGCUGGAAACAGAUACUUCUCACAAAGAUCAGUUUGACCUUUGGUUGCUGAACACAAGAUUUGCAUGCUGCUACUAUAAUUCAGUGUUAUUUUGUCAACAAAAUUGAGUCCAGAUACAUGAAUCUAUGUUUCCUUUGUAGUCAUACAGUAUUAAAGUCAACAAACCUGCUCAGUAUAUGGCAAAUACUUCCCAUCAAAUGUCAAAACAACACGAUCUUUUCCAUCCACACCUUUCACUUUAUCAACAGAGCAGUAGAAAUCUAUGGCCGACAUGAUGCCAUCACCAAACUCCUCAUUGAUAAUUUCCUUUAUGCUUUCACCAAAAUGCAUAACUGCUUCAUUCAACCUGUAAACAGUUGGUUCUUGGAUCAAGUUAGGGUCGUAGGACCUCAGGGGUGGUUUAGUCAUCUCCUGAAGCAGAUCAUCAGUGAGUUCAGGCAGUGCAGCUCGUAGGUUUGGGGCGGUAUCGGGCUUGAGUUGGGCCUGGCGUCUCAAUAACUGAGCAACGUAGACGUUGGUGAGGCCAGUCUCCUCCGCAAUCUGAGUGUAGGUCUUGCAGGAUCUCCGUUUCACAGCCAGUAGGCGGCUGCAUAUGUUGGCUUUGGUCUGUCCCAUUUCAGAAGGAGUCAACACGGUCGACAUUUUUCUGUUUCCGUCCAUACCCU
rnacentral:misc_RNA from 1 species